rnacentral:siRNA from 1 species
GUCGUCUUUGGGGAUGCCGAUCCA